AGCGAACGCUGGCGGCAGGCCUAACACAUGCAAGUCGAACGAAGCCUUCGGGCUUAGUGGCGGACGGGUGAGUAACACGUGGGAACGUACCUUUUGGUUCGGAACAACUCAGGGAAACUUGAGCUAAUACCGGAUGAGCCCUUAGGGGGAAAGAUUUAUCGCCGAAAGAGCGGCCCGCGUUAGAUUAGCUAGUUGGGGAGGUAAAGGCUCACCAAGGCAACGAUCUAUAGCUGGUCUGAGAGGAUGAUCAGCCACACUGGGACUGAGACACGGCCCAGACUCCUACGGGAGGCAGCAGUGGGGAAUCUUGCGCAAUGGGCGAAAGCCUGACGCAGCCAUGCCGCGUGAAUGAUGAAGGUCUUAGGAUUGUAAAAUUCUUUACCAGGGACGAUAAUGACGGUACCUGGAGAAAAAGCCCCGGCUAACUUCGUGCCAGCCGCCGCGGUAACAC
rnacentral:rRNA from 1 species